ensembl:snRNA U6 U6 spliceosomal RNA
ACUCCCUGCUUCAGUACUGCGCACUAAAAUUUCGAUGACACAGGGGCGGUCAGCACGGCCCCUACACAAGGAUGAAAUGCAACUUUGCAAAGCAUUCCAUAUUUUA